rnacentral:rRNA from 1 species
UACGUAGGGUGCGAGCGUUAAUCGGAAUUACUGGGCGUAAAGCGUGCGCAGGCGGUUCGUUGUGUCGGCGGUGAAAGCCCCGGGCUUAACCUGGGAAUGGCCGUCGAAACUGGCGAACUGGAGUGUGGCAGAGGGGGGUGGAAUUCCGCGUGUAGCAGUGAAAUGCGUAGAGAUGCGGAGGAACACCGAUGGCGAAGGCAGCUCGCUGGGACGGUACUGACGCUAAGGCGCGAAAGCGUGGGGAGCGAACAGG